ensembl:lncRNA
CUCUGCUUAAACCGUUGACUUGCUGUCAAAAACAGACGCAGCUCAGCAAGGGGAACAAUGGUGAUGGAGUGGCACUGAAAGAGCUGAGUCCGAGUUGGUUUGGGAAAAUGACAAGGCAGAUCCACAGUUGAAGAAUGAAACAGAGAUGGCGAACCACUGAUCAUUCUGUGGAGAGAUAUGGAGCCAGAAGAGAGGAGUAUGUCCUGUCGUGUAUGUGAGUUGAUUCUGGUCAAUCAGGUGAUCCUCUGUGGGACCCAGGAAGACCGUACAACUGCAUCUCUACCAACUUGAAUUGCAGUUUCUCUGCAUUCCAGCCUCUUCCGUUUCAUGGGAAAGAAUUUUCUCUAAGGCAGGAGAAAUUAUCUCCAAGAAAAGAAACAGCCUCGGCCAUCGCACAGCAGAACAAAUUCUCUUCUUAAAGAAAAAUGAAAAAGUGUUACCUUAAAUGCGUCAAGUUUUUAUUUUGCAAGUUCAUAAGCAUUCUCCCUUUCCAGUUCACAAUCAAUUCAACCCCUAGGUCAAAAAUAUGUGUAAGAAAAUUGGCCUAAUAUUAUAUUAUAAACAUACUUGUCCAGCUGUCCAGUGAAUUAU